rnacentral:rRNA from 1 species
GAGUUUGAUCCUGGCUCAGGACGAACGCUGGCGGCAUGCCUAACACAUGCAAGUCGAACGGACCGACCCGACGGAAUUCUUCGGAAGGAAGUUGGUUAGGUUAGUGGCGGACGGGUGAGUAACGCGUGGAUAACCUGCCUCUAGGAUGGGGACAACCCCGGGAAACCGGGGCUAAUACCGAAUAACAUUUCUGAAUCGCAUGGUUCGAAAAUCAAAGGUGGCCUCUCAUUGAAGCUACCGUCUAGAGAUGGAUCCGCGUCUGAUUAGCUAGUUGGUGAGGUAGUGGCUCACCAAGGCGACGAUCAGUAGCCGGCCUGAGAGGGUGAACGGCCACACUGGGACUGAGACACGGCCCAGACUCCUACGGGAGGCAGCAGUGGGGAAUCUUCCGCAAUGGGCGAAAGCCUGACGGAGCAAUGCCGCGUGAAUGAAGAAGGCCUUCGGGUUGUAAAGUUCUGUCCUUAAGGAAGAAUGUUACAUAUGUGAAUAAUGUAUGUAAGUGACGGUACUUAUGGAGGAAGCCCCGGCUAACUACGUGCCAGCAGUCGCGGUAAUACGUAGGGGGCGAGCGUUGUCCGGAAUCACUGGGCGUAAAGCGCAUGUAGGCGGAUUAUUAAGUCAGAUGUGAAAACUAUGGGCUCAACCUGUAGACUGCAUCUGAUACUGGUAAUCUUGAGUAUAGGAGAGGAAAGUGGAAUUCCUAGUGUAGCGGUGAAAUGCGUAGAUAUUAGGAGGAACACCAGUGGCGAAGGCGACUUUCUGGCCUAUAACUGACGCUGAGAUGCGAAAGCGUGGGUAGCAAACAGGAUUAGAUACCCUGGUAGUCCACGCCGUAAACGAUGGGUACUAGGUGUUGGGUGUCAAAGCUCAGUGCCGCAGUUAACACAAUAAGUACCCCGCCUGGGGAGUACGGUCGCAAGACUGAAACUCAAAGGAAUUGACGGGGGCCCGCACAAGCGGUGGAGCAUGUGGUUUAAUUCGACGCAACGCGAAGAACCUUACCAAGGCUUGACAUCCCUUGACAGGUCCAGAGAUGGAUUUUUCUUUUCGAAGACAAGGAGACAGGUGGUGCAUGGUUGUCGUCAGCUCGUGUCGUGAGAUGUUGGGUUAAGUCCCGCAACGGGCGCAACCCUUGUCUUUAGUUGCCAUCAGUUCGGCUGGGCACUCUAGAGAGACUGCCGGUGACAAACCGGAGGAAGGUGGGGAUGACGUCAAAUCAUCAUGCCCCUUAUGAUUUGGGCUACACACGUGCUACAAUGGUCGGUACAACGGGCAGCGAAGGGGUGACCUGGAGCGAAUCCUAAAAAGCCGAUCCCAGUUCGGAUUGUAGGCUGCAACUCGCCUACAUGAAGUUGGAGUUGCUAGUAAUCGUGAAUCAGAAUGUCGCGGUGAAUGCGUUCCCGGGUCUUGUACACACCGCCCGUCACACCAUGGAAGUUGGGGGCACCCGAAGCCAGUGAUCUAACCCGUAAGGGAGGAAGCUGUCGAAGGUGAAAUCAAUGACUGGGGUGAAGUCGUAACAAGGUAGCCGU